AUGCACUGCGAACACAUGAAGAAUCACAAAGAUAUGUAUUUGUUUUUCAUCAUUGAAGUUAUUUAUAAAUUAAAACUUGCUGAAACUGUUGAAGAAAUGAUACAACCAGCUUUAGUUCAGAGAUGCGUCAAGCAUCAAAAUCCAUACUUCAGUAUAAAUCUUUUUUUCCACAAAAUACAACACCGUUCAAGCAAUGUAAGCAAGAUUGUCCUACAUACUUUGCAUGGAUCAAAGCGGAGCUAA